AUGAAACCUAAUACCUAUCUCCUUCUUCCUUUCUUCCCCAAUUCGAUUCUCUCUCUCCAUUUUCCCAAAUUUUCUGUUGCCCCUUACCACUGUAGUACGCCUACCGUGACGUCGCCACUGAGGGAAGCCGAUUGGAGUAAGAGUAGCUCCCUUGGCCUUUGGUUUGGUUUUUUGCGCUCGGAGACUCUCUCCUUCAGGGAGGUAUUGCUUAGUACAUCAAAAGUUAUUUUUUCUUGGUAGGUAGCUUAGCAAAUGGCUUGCUCAUUACAAGUUUGUUACUUGUUUGGCAUUUUUAUAUUUAUAUUGUUUGAUAUCAAUAUUUCUUUGUUGGAUAUUUCUUUUUUCUUUCUAUAACCAUAACAAGUAUAGAUAUUUAACUUUUCAUGUGGGUCUAAUAGAACUGCUGAAAGAAAUGCCUAGGAAAUUGGGGAUAAAACAUUUUUCUUUCAUACAUGUGGAAUUGUGAUUUUUCAGAGUCUUUUAGGCUUUUGAAAUUGUGAUUUUGGAAUUUGGGCAUCUUAUUCGUGGCUAUUAAUAUGAAAUUUCUCUUACCUGACCAUUCGCUUCUCAAUUCCAGUCAGAAAUUGGAAAAAGGCUUCAAUUCAUCAUUGUCAUUAAUCUCUAGGUAUAUGUAUGAAUGCUUUCCAAUUUCCUUUUCUCCUUUGUGUAUCCUUUGCAGUUUGAGCGUCUUUGAUAUUUUGAUGAACUCGAGGAAUUUCCUAGAAUUUUGUUACUCUUUUUUCUUUCUAUAACCAUAGCAAGUAUGAAUCCUUGGGCCUGAUGUGGCAUAAAAUGGAAGAUGAAAUGGAACAUAAUAUGGAAUAUCUCUUUUGCAUCUGACCAUUCUCUUCUCAAAGUUUGUGGAUAUUUGAUUCCCCCUGCAACUUCCCAUCAGUGUGUCAGUGUUGUUUACUGUCAUUGAAUGAGCUGGUGUGAUUGUUGGCAGCCUCUCCAUAAUGCUUAUAGAAUACUUUAAUAACAUUAGUUUUUCACUUUUUCCCAUUGAAGUGCAAAUAUUUCCCAUUGAAGUUUCGAUUUUAAUUUUCUAUCUUUUUUUAGGUGAGAAUUUCAUGAUGCUUGAUGGGGUUGCCAGGUUUUGUACUUACAUGAUGUGCCUGCAUGAAUGUUUCUUUUAUGAUCAUAACUAAGAUAUCUUAAUUUGUUGUUGUU